ACUUUCGUGGGGAAGGAGAAGAAGCAGAGGAGUGGAGAGGAGCGGCCAGAUUUUUGCUUCAUCGGACAACAACAUGGACGUCUUCAUACCCGAAGACUACCUCCUCAAACGACGCCAGUCCAAGAAGUCGCAGCAGAUCAGGCAGAGGCUCCUGGAGGUCCGGACCGAGUCGAGGCCGCAAGCCUCCGCUGGAGAGGCGUCGCCCGGCGGCAGUGGCAGGGGGAGCGUGAGCUCGCCAGCCAAGGAGCAGCCACGAGAUCGAGCCCCUGAAGAGGUGGCAAGAGAGCGUUACUGUCACCAAGCUCACUUGAUGUAACUUGCCGCUGUCCAUCUCAAGUCUGGCCUGUCUGGACCGCGUCAAUAGACAAGUAUGAAAAUAAAAGCUGAGAGUCAGGGUUGACUUUUUGGGUCAAGUGGGCGUAAUCCUAGAAACUUGUUCACUCCUUGUCCAGCGCAUCAUCAGCAACAAAACCCCACGCAGCGAUGAUGCUUCUUGAUUUAACAAAAGAAAAAUGGAGAUACAGGUGAAGAGAUCAGUGGGUUGUGAUCCACAAACGUCGCCUCUAAUGUUGCAGACAAAAGUCAAAAGAUUGGAUCAGCCUCACAAAAUAUCUGUUAUGUCUUCUCCUUUUCAUUUCAUAGUUGUCUGAAACAUUUUUCGGUUGUCCAGUUCGAGAGCAAUUAAAGAUUAGGAACUUCCUGGACCA